GGGCUGCAGCUUCCUGCAUGAUGUUGUGGAGCUUGGCGCCUGACCCAGGAUAUAGAAGGCACUCUGGGCAGGCCGCGCUCCGCCCACGAAGGUACCCAACCCUCUGGGAUAGAUGCAGGAACGGAUGGUUUAACCACCAAGGACUCUGAGAGCUGGCAGGUCUGAGUAACCCUGGUAACAAUUCUCUUCACCUUAUCAAAACCUGAGCUAAAACCAAUGCAUCAGCUGAUGAUGACAGCAGAGAGUGGCAGGGCUGAGGACCCAAUAUUCAUUUCCCAGGCUGGCGGAGAGUUUUUUUCUCAGUCAACUGAAUUCUUUUUCUCCACUUCGUCUUGCCACUCUUAAUGCAUGCAUGAGAUGCCCUAAGAUAAUUUCUGAUGGCCUGGGACUCCUUGGGAAAAAAAUGAAAAGGCACCACAGAUUCCAUUUUGGGAGAAACCUCCAUUUUCCUCAUGAAACCCCAGGAAUUAGAGGCAGAUAAACUGCCAGGGAGAAGAAUAAGAAGACAGGAGACAAACUGUUUGGAAAGCUAAAUCUUCCCUCUUAAUGAGUAAAGGUUUUUGCCUUGUCUUAAAGUUUCUGAGUCCUAAUUUUGGCAAAAUAAAUAACUUAUGGUAAUGUGGAA